rnacentral:rRNA from 1 species
GCGUAGGCGCAGCGAAAGCGAGUCUGAACAGGGCGUUUAGUUCGUGGGAUUAGACCCGAAACCGGGUGAUCUAGGCAUGGCCAGGUUGAAGGCGCAGUAACAUGCGCUGGAGGACCGAACCCACAUCUGUUGAAAAAGAUCGGGAUGAGCUGUGCCUAGGGGUGAAAGGCCAAUCAAACCCGGAGAUAGCUGGUUCUCCGCGAAAUCUAUUUAGGUAGAGCGUCAUGUCUCACCUCGGGGGGUAGAGCACUGGAUGGGUGAUGGGGUCCCACAGACUUACUGAGCCUAACCAAACUCCGAAUACCCGAGAGUGCAAUCAUGGCAGACACACGGCGGGUGCUAACGUCCGUCGUGGAGAGGGAAACAACCCUGACCGACAGCUAAGGUCCCUAAGUCAUGGCUAAGUGGGAAAGCAUGUGAGACGGCCAAAACAACCAGGAUGUUGGCUUAGAAGCAGCCAUCAUUUAAAGAGUGCGUAACAGCUCACUGAUCGAGAGGCUUUGGGCCGAAAAUGAACGGGGCUCAAGUGCACAACCGAAGCUGCGGCUUGCGCAAGAUCGUUGAUCUUGUGCAGGGGUAGGGGAGCGUUCUAACUGGGUGAAGGGCUACGGUAACGAGGCCUGGACGGUUUAGAAGUGAUUAUGCCGGAAUGAGUAGCGAUAAAGCAGGUGAGAAUCCUGCUCGCCGAAAACCUAAGGUUUCCUGGGCACGGUAAAUCCGCCCAGGGUUAGUCGGUCCCUAAGGCGAGGCCGAAAGGCGUAGUCGAUGGGAAUCUGGUUAAUAUUCCAGAACCUCUCGGGAGAUGACGGAUGGUAGACGUAGUUUGACCUUAUUGGAUUGGUCGGGCUGCCACGCUGUCCCUGGAAAUAGCCCCGAGAUUAGACCGUACCCGAAACCGACACAGGUGGGCAGGUUGAAUAUACCAAGGCGCUUGAGAGAACGAUGUUGAAGGAACUCGGCAAAUUGCCCCCGUAACUUCGGGAGAAGGGGGCCCACCGUGAAGGCAACUUUACGGUGGGGGCACAGACCAGGGGGUGGCGACUGUUUACUAAAAACACAGGGCUCUGCGAAGUCGUAAGACGACGUAUAGGGUCUGACGCCUGCCCGGUGCCUGAAGGUUAAAAGGAGGAGUGCAAGCUCCGAAUUGAAGCCCAGGUAAACGGCGGCCGUAACUAUAACGGUCCUAAGGUAGCGAAAUUCCUUGUCGGGUAAGUUCCGACCUGCACGAAUGGCGUAACGACUUCCCCGCUGUCUCCAACAUAGACUCAGCGAAAUUGAAUUCCCCGUGAAGAUGCGGGGUUCCCGCGGUCAGACGGAAAGACCCCGUGCACCUUUACUGCAGCUUCAGACUGGCAUCAGACGCGUGACGUGCAGGAUAGGCGGUAGGCUAUGAAACCAGGGCGCUAGCUCUGCGGAGCCAUCCUUGAGAUACCGCCCUUCACUCGUUUGAUGUCUAACCGCGAUCCGUGAACCCGGAUCCGGGACCCUCUGUGGCGGGCAGUUUGACUGGGGCGGUCGCCUCCCAAAGAGUAACGGAGGCGCGCGAAGGUGGGCUCAGAACGGUCGGACAUCGUUCGUAGAGUGCAAUGGCAUAAGCCCGCCUGACUGCGAGACUGACAAGUCGAGCAGAGACGAAAGUCGGCCAUAGUGAUCCGGUGGUCCCUCGUGGACGGGCCAUCGCUCAACGGAUAAAAGGUACGCCGGGGAUAACAGGCUGAUGGUGCCCAAGAGUCCAUAUCGACGGCACCGUUUGGCACCUCGAUGUCGGCUCAUCACAUCCUGGGGCUGGAGCAGGUCCCAAGGGUACGGCUGUUCGCCGUUUAAAGAGGUACGUGAGCUGGGUUUAGAACGUCGUGAGACAGUUCGGUCCCUAUCUGCCGUGGGUGUUCGAGACUUGAGAGGAGCUGCCCCUAGUACGAGAGGACCGGGGUGGACGUUCCACUGGUGGACCAGUUAUCCUGCCAAGGGUAGUGCUGGGUAGCUAUGAACGGACAGGAUAACCGCUGAAAGCAUCUAAGCGGGAAGCCCCCCUCAAAACAAGGUCUCGCAUGAGAGCCGUGGUAGACCACCACGUCGAUAGGUUGGGGAUGUACGCGCAGCAAUGUGCUCAGUCGACCAAUACUAAUCGCUCGAUAGGCUUGACCCG